UAGUUAGAUGGAACAGUAUAUGGAAGAUUCAUAUUCCAGCUCUAAAAUUGAGAAGGGUACCUGAUGCAAAAUCAUGAUAUCAUUCGUGUACCUUAACUUCUGUUUUACCUUUGGCAGCAUUUAAAAAUGAACUUUACCCGCCAGAGAGAAAGCACCUAGCGCCCAGCUAACCUAAAAAACUGAAUUAAUUUACGUAUUCAUAGAUUCUGAUUUCCUCCUUCUUCUGUCUGAUCAAAUUAAUAAUAACCCUACGGCCUCUGCUGCCUUCAACUACGCCUCUGCAUCAGUGUUCUUCAGUAAAAUUAUGACCACAACUCCGUGAUGGAUGCCGAAACGGUAUAUGUACCUUCUGCAGCUUCUGCACAAAUUUUAAUCUACUCUUCCACCAAUUAACUGUUACGCCAGACCAUUCAAUUUUGAACUAUAACUGCGCCAAUCCUCCUUCAUCUCUCCAACACGGUGUGGCUAAUUCACUGUUAUUGUGAACCAACGUAGUAAAUAGAGAUUGGCUGCGGCCAAGGAGACACAGGACAACGAAGAAGAUGAAGAAGAAGGUACACAUCGGCUGCACUAUUCUAUGAGUCAAAAUUUUACACCCUUCGGUUUUCCUCAUGAUUAGGUUAAAACUCAAAUUUUAAUAUUAUAGUGUUUCACUUAUUUUAUUACUAUUUUACUUUUAAAACCAUGUCUCUUAAAUUUUACAUUUAUUAAUAUUGGAAGCAUGAUAAAGAAAUUGGAUGA